GAAGUUGCGGGCCGGGAGCCUAGGUAAGACGUGGGGUGCGAGCGUUAUCCGGCGGUACUGGGGGUAAAGGGCAGGUGGGCGGGGCGACGCUGUUUGCCGGACUGCUGCCGGCUGACCGGGCAGAGCAGGCGAAAGACGGUCGCACUUGAGGACCAGAGAGGGACCUGGAUUUCCGGGUGGAGCGGUGAAAUGCGUAGAGAUCCGGAGGAACACCAAAGGCGAAGGCAGGGUCCUGGCUGGGAACUGACGCUGAGGUGCGAAAGCCAGGGGAGCGAACGGGAUUAGAUACCCUGGUAGUC
rnacentral:rRNA from 1 species